rnacentral:lncRNA from 1 species
UUCUUUAGUGAAUUCUCCUGCAUCUUGCAUGACCAAGUCCUCACUGGGGUCUUCUAAAACAUGUCAUCCCCAGCACUGAAGCAGAGACUUGAGCUCAUUUAUAACCAAUGACAAGGUCAUCUCUGGGCUGGGGCUCCCACCCGCAUUUUCUUCCAGAGCAUGCCUCCAUCUGAAAGUCUUUCUCAUCCAACGCCCCAUGAGCUCCAUUGGAAAA